ACUCUAAAUGAAACCAGCGAAGUACAGAGUUGUGAUAUUUCCUUUCUCCUGAAGGUGUAUAAUUGGAAACAUCUUCAUUUACCCCACUGAACCUAUUUUUGUCACACUGCUGCAGAAAUGCCUGAAGCACAAUUUGAGAUGAACAUUUGAAAAUUUUGUGGACUCUCUUUUCCUCCUCCAACCCUUCAGAACAGCCUAUGGCAUGGCGACAUGUCCAGUUCUGGAUCUUAAUGGCAACUGGUUUGCAUUUACAGGAAAUCAGUUUUGUGUUGGGGGCACCAAACUUUUGCUCAAGUUACUCUUUAAGUAAGCCUGUCAUAGUGCCGAUCGCCUGUGAUACCGAAAUCCUAUUGGCAAGCCACAGAGGAGCCAGAACAUGAUUGCUCAGCUCUGUCUGCCUUUUCUGAUUCAAAGGUCAUUAAACCCUAGCAACAGCUUCAAACACUGAUAAACAGUGCCCUCCCUUUCAUCAUCACUGCGUCUCUGGUCCACGCGGUGGUGACGCUGCCUUCUGAAGCUGCUGCACAAGGAGAGUGUUCUGGGUGACCUACUUUCCAGAGGGAUUUGAGGAAGUAGAGCCAGGACCUCCAGAGCUGAAGGAGCACAAGAGAAACAGCUGAGCUUCUUGUGGUCCUUUCCCACCCAUGUCAAAACUGUCAGCAUGGAAUUCAGGAGGAUGUUGACAGAGCAAUAGGCUGCACAGACCUUGGAGGGCAGCUUGGAGGCAGUGCCAGCAAACAGGCUGAAGGAAUGGCUCUGAACAUGAGCUUUGAAGCUCCUUUGCUCAAAGCUGAAGAAGGAGACAGCAGUGAUGGAGAAGGCUGCUUAAAAAGCUACAUUCUAGGUAAAACAGGUUCCUUCUACUUAUUUAAGGAAAUGAAAAGGUGUGUUCCUGGACAACAGUGAGAACUGGAACUAGAAGGAGGACUCCAAGAAGAGAAAAAAUGUUAUCAUGAACUCCUUUAGGAUUAUCUUUUUAUGGUGGAAUGGGCUAUGUUCAGAUGAAUACACAUUUUAAUGCAUCCUGGAGAAGUCCAUGUGUGACUGAAUUAAACUCAGAUAUAAUUAAAAUGUAUCAAUAAUAUCAAAUUACUCAGGGCUGUAAUUUCUCAGGGCUUUGAAUUGUACAUAUCUGGACAUCAAAGAAUAAAGUUUGCAUUUGUAUC
rnacentral:lncRNA from 7 species